AGACCUCUUUCGGCAAAGAAUUAUACCACAAAGCCCCAACUAGGUACUACCACUUAUAGGAGUCUUCUUUGCUAGUAGAAUGCCCCCACGAGAAGAAUAUUGGGAUGCUUACGCUCUCGUUAGACGUGACAGUCAGUUAUAGUGGGUAAACUAACAAAGGGAAUAGAUGCUAACUUGAGAGCACAAAAGUCUGAUUUAGCACCAGUGAAGGAUUAGGUCAUAUCUGAGAUGCAAUACCAGGGUGCUAGUUUGAGACAGAAGAUCAGGAUACUCAGGUUCAGGUUAUUUAUUAGAUAUGUUAGGUUCCAUUUGUUGAAUUAUCACAUGAAUUUGCUCCAUGAACUAUGCUCCCUAGAUGGGGAAGACUAGUUAUCAUUAUAACUUAAUUACGGUAUCCAUGGAUAGGACUUCAAACUUAGGUCUUCCAUCUAAUUUAAUCUAUAAAUAAUUGCAAUGUUGAGCAAAUUGUCAUAAUGUGAAACUUAGGACCUCUGGUAGG
rnacentral:lncRNA from 1 species